rnacentral:lncRNA from 1 species
GCUCUUUCGGCUGUACGUGUGGCGUCACACGUAGCGGUCAAGAUGGCGUCUGUAAUUGGAGCUGAGCUUCGACCUUUUCACUCUAGCGAGGGUUGGGAUGAAAAGAACACAGCUUGGUCCCUGAUGCCCAGUUGAGGAUUAAGAUCUGGUUCCGUAGACGCUUGGGAGUAGUCAUCAGCGUCUUCCAGCCACCCAAACGACAACUCAAGAAAGGUUAUCCACUACGGAGAGAGAAGACCUCACAGUGGCCCGUACACCUUUCUCGGUGUUAGGAGUUGCAAGUGGAGGAAAGGAAUCCGAGCGGUCUCAGCUUGGAGUUACGCCAUGUACGAAGUAGGAGAGGUAGUGAUAUCUCGUGCAAAAUCUGACAAAGGGAAGAAGGGACUUACUUGAGGCACUACGACAUGGUAGGUUCACCAUCAGCCUUUGUUCUUAACCACACAAUGUUGUGGAGGCCUUGUGCCCCUAUUUUACAGAUCGAUAGGGACCCAAUAUAUUGUUUCUCUGAUCCAAGAACUCAAAGUUAAUUUCUAGUAUUAUAAAUCCCAUCGAAUUUUGUUGUGUCCUCCCUCUAAAUAAAGAACUCUGGUAGCAUCGGAUGCAAUGAAAGUGCAAAUCUUGAGGAAUUGUUAGUGUGCAUCCUUCUGUUAGCAGAUUCCCGUGAAAACUAGGGUAACCACUGGGAGGACAUCUAGCUCAAUGGCAGAUUGCUUGUCAAGUAUGUGCAAGACCUGGAGACCUGAAUCGGAUUCCUAGCACUAAGGGAUGUUAGGAUGGACACACGAGAAAAACUACCCUGUGGGAAUAUUAAGAUACACAACGUGAAUGAAAGUUCUUUUCCUAGUUCAUUAUGAAUUACAUUUAUAAUCUCAGCACUGUAGAAGUGGAAGAAGAUGAGGAAUGCAGGGUCAGACUGGACUGCAAGAGACACCGAGACCAAAACAAGAAAAAAGAAGAAGUUUUUAAGUAAAUUGUGAACCACUGCAUAUGAGUCUACUCCUGCUCCUGAAUGGAGCUGUAGGUUAGUCAGAAAUAAAAAGGACCAUUUCCUAUACAGCU